UAAAAGAUAAGCUAAAAAAGCUAAUGGGUUCAUACCCCAUGAAUGAGAAUUUUCUCUCUUUUUG
rnacentral:tRNA from 1 species